rnacentral:rRNA from 1 species
CAGCAGCCGCGGUAAUACGGAGGAUGCGAGCGUUAUCCGGAUUUAUUGGGUUUAAAGGGUGCGUAGGCGGCCGAGUAAGUCAGCGGUGAAAUUUUGCAGCUUAACUGUAACAGUGCCGUUGAUACUGCAUGGCUAGGAUUUGGUUGCUGUGGGUGGAAUGUGUGGUGUAGCGGUGAAAUGCUUAGAUAUCACACAGAAUAUCAAUUGCGAAGGCAGCUCACAAAGCCAAGAUUGACGCUGAGGCACGAAAGUGUGGGGAUCAAACAGGAUUAGAUACCCUGGUAGUCCACACUGUAAACGAUGAUAACUCACUGCCGGCGAUACACAGUCGGUGGCCAAGCGAAAGCGAUAAGUUAUCCACCUGGGGAGUACGACCGCAAGGUUGAAACUCAAAGGAAUUGACGGGGGCCCGCACAAGCGGAGGAACAUGUGGUUUAAUUCGAUGAUACGCGAGGAACCUUACCCGGGCUCGAACGGUGCAUGAAUAAGCAAGAGAUUGUUUAGUCCUUCGGGACAUGUAUCGAGGAGGUGCAUGGCC